rnacentral:sRNA from 1 species
CUCCGCUGCGCUCCUACAGUUGGGCCCUUCUUUCUCCACCUCCCUCCCCCUCCCGCGCGUUGCUCCGGCUUGUGUUCCCGGGUUCCCUCCCCGGCGCGUCUUUCCCGGCCCGCCCGGUGCAUUGUGGGCUGACGUCUUGGUUUGGCUGUCUAGUGACGGAGGCUGCCGGGUCCGCUGGACCCUUGCGGAGUCUGUCGGAGGCGGGCUCAAGUUCAGGGCUGGGGACCCAGACCGAGACGCGGGGAUCCAGAAAGCUGGGGAGACGCGCUGGUGGCCUGGGGCGGAGGGCUUGGGUGGGAGUAGAGGUUACACACACACACACACACACACACACACACACACACACACACACACACACACACACGAACACACGAACACACCCGUGAAAGGGCUGAAUGAUCUGGGCGAUUGAAGCUGGCUCCGCACCCCCGCACUUCCGGGAGACAGAGCGACGCGGGUUAAUAUGGUUGUGUUCGCCCCGGGUGCGGGAGCGGCAAGUGGGUUGAAGUUGAGCGGGUUUGAGAGUGGCCCUCCCACGCCGAGUGCGCAUGGAAGUUUAGUUUCGGAGAAGGAUCUGCGCCGCAGUGUGCUGUGCUGGAAACCAGAGAUUUGCUGUGCUCGGAAUGAAUUCACCAGGGUCCCCGGCACAACACUUCAUUUUCUGGGGACGUGCCGGGAGGGGUUCGCUUUACCUCGGAGGGACCCCCUUCUAGGUGUGAAAGAUGCCACCCCGGCUCCUUGGGGUAUGGAAAGCAACAUAUAAAGGUUCGAAACUCAGGAAACCCCAGCGCUCGCCUGCACUAGCACAUACACACAGCCCCGCGCACACUCAGUUCGCGCCCGCCCUUCCUCCCUCCCUGAUUUGCUUCUGGGAAAACAAGCCUUGAGAGCUGCGGACUCGCCCCGAGUCACGGUGCUUAAGCAGGAGUCCCUGGUAGAAAGACUGAAAAAUCCCCUCCCCGCUCGAUGGUGGAUUCAUAUCCUGUGCGGCCUCUAGGAAGCGCUAGACACAUCUAUCUUGGGAGGCAUACAUUUUUACCUAGACUUUUCGUGGAAGGAAAUGGUCCCAGAAAGUUCAUGCGUCUUGCUUGGGGUAUACAGACAGCUGGAAAGUGAGCUCAGGCUUGCUUCAGAAAGUCACACAUCUUCCCAUGUCACCUGACAAUACAAGGGACUUCAAGGACAUACAGAAGAACAGAGUCCUUGGUCUCUGAAUGACCCUGUGGAAGGAUACUCACUGGCCAGAAGUAGUCCUUCCAGACUUUGAAUGACAAAUCAACUUCAUUGUGCUGGUCCACUGGGAUUUUGGAGUAAAGAUGGCAAUAUCUUCUAAUUCCACUUGGUGUUUAGGAUGCCCUUCAUAAGAAGAAACCCUGGGUCAAAGUUGAGGCUUAUGUUCUGGCUUUCCCAGCUUGAAAAGAAAGAAACUUGUAUACUGUCACCUUCCUAUUGAGGGUGCAAACUUCAUGAGGUAUGUUAGGUAUGUGUUUGUCUUUUUCUGUUUCUCAUCUUUGAGUGGGUGUUUAUUGAAAUGCCAGGUGCUUUUCAGUUGUAUUUCUGAAUGCAAGCAGUACAUAUUGUUAAACAUUUUAUUAAUAUAUUCAAUAUUUUUGAGUGUUUAUUGCAUUUUAGCAACUGGUAAUCAUUGCUAAGCAAGAGCUUCUCGGCAUGCCCAUUGGAGGAGGUAUAGCAAGGGAAAUGGAUGAGAGAGAAGACAGGGUGAGGCCAGCCUGAUAGUGUUCUGAGUUACAGGAUUCCUGUGUGGAAGGGCCUCUCUGCUAAGGAAAGAGGUUGAAGAAAGUGCUUUGGAAAAACUGGUUAAUCAGCAGAAACUUCCAAAGUAGGUGGGAAUAGCUGGAAGAAGAGGAGACGUCAGAGAGGACGUAUUCUAGGAAGAGGGGAUGUAGAUGUUACGGACCAGGGCAUAUUUGGAGCUGUAAAGGAGGGGUGAGGUGGAGGGACUUGGAAUAGAUACAUCUGUGCACAUGCUUAAAAGCCUUGGUAGGCUUUAUAAUGUGGUCAAGCACCAUAUGAAAAGUGUUUAUUUUCCUAGGAGAAGAUGUACCACAGCCAUCAGGAUGUAGCCAUUUGUGUAGUUUCUACUUUAUUGUGUUAUGCUCUUUGUUUCAGAGUUUUCUACAGUGAACAUGCUUUACACUUGCAGAUAGAUAGAUAGAUAGAUAGAUAGAUAGAUAGAUAGAUAGAUAACCCCAACAUGUUUUCCAUCUGAUUAGUUGUGAUCCUAUCACCUGGCCCUUGAAAGAAGUCCUCUGGAAGAGCUGAGGCACAGAGAUGAUUUCCAGUGAAGCACUCAGGAAGCUGAGACAGAAGGAUAGCUACAAGUUUGAGGCCUGCCUGGUAUACACAGUGAAUGCAGUGUCUCCAAACAAACAGCUCAAAGUCGUUCAUGGAGAUGUUAUUGGAUUGCGCUGGGGACCGCAGUUCCUUGAUAAUGAGUAAUUGUUUGCUCAAGCUUUAGCCAAGUGUAAAUAUAAAUAUAACCGGGAUGGUUUACCCGUCCAUUGCCAUCCAUGCACUACUGUACCGAGUGCUGUGGCUGACGUGAGAACUGAAUGCAUGGAGCUGCAAUGGUGGACUCCAGGCCUGCUUCGUCAUCGUCAGAUAUGUCAUUUAACAGCUGAGCCUCGCUUUCCUCACAUGAAAAAUGAUUGCGAUGAUUGAUAUUUACCUCAGAGAAUUUAAAUGGGACUGCCACCGUACCUAUGGGAAAGUCACUGCUGAACUGGUGACAUUUCUGUAUAUAUGUAUGUUAUUUAGUGUUUAUAUAUUUAUACGUGGAUUCCUGAAAUAGCAGUUCCGCAGAGUUGAGCAUUAGAAAACAGCUGGUCUUUUGCAAGGCCCAGUUUGAGGCAGACCAUACAAGCUGCUAGAAUACCCUGGCCACAGUGUUAAGACAAAACUGAAAGAAACACAAACUGAAAGAGAUUUGAAUGAGGAAAUACACCCACACUUACAUGCUAACAGCUAAUAGGGGACUUUACUUUGAAGCUAGCCAAGGUUGCUUGACAGAAGGCUGAGAAAAGAUGAGGCUGCUGAGUGAAGCCAGAGAGAUUAUGCUCAAAGUCAAGUAGAUACCAUACAAUAAGCUUUUCCAAGGUCUAUCAUCUUGGGAGGAAAAACAAACCAAACCAAAACCCUUAUAUUGCUGUCUUCCCACUGGUCAGCAGACUUUCAGUAACUCUGCCUUGCUGUAAGGUGCAUCACAGUGUUGUGCAUUAGAGCAGUGUGGGCCACACAGGCAACUGGCAUGUUUCAAACUUCCACAGAUUUCUUGGCUUCAUUAUCAGGAGAAGUAUGCGAUCCCAUAGGUAAUGUUCAGUAAGAGAUGUAUCUGUCCUGCCCCGUCUCAGACUGAUCACGUUCUGCCCUCUGUCUCCUUGGCUGUAGGGCUCCUCUUCACUGGCUGUGAACUCCUUAAGUAAGGUUCCUGAUGUUCAUGUUUGUUCUCUAAGGUUGAGCACAGGGUCGGUCCCUGGAACAGAGCCGUUGCAUUGCAGUUGAACUUCUAGUAGCCAAGGCAAACCUCUGGACCCUCUGUGGUAGCACCAGGAUCCACCAACAGGCAACACAAGCUGAGGCCCGGAGGCUUCUGUGGGACCAUGUAUGAUUCCACUUCAUCUCCUGCAACCCUGUUGCUCUCCAAUAUGGCAAGAGGAGCAUUGGGUCUUCCUCCUUUGUUAAGACAUUUAUACCAGUUGAGCAAGAAGUCGGUGCUAGAGCGGCAGCAGCCGGUUUGGAGCGCAGUCUCUUCCUCAUGGAACCCUGGCCGGAUCACUGGUCUUCACCACCACUGUAAACUUCUAAAUUCCCUCUUGUUAAACAAAUUAGAGUGGGUUCAAGGUUAUAUUUUGAUAUUAAUAGUUUUACCCUCAUCGCCCCGUGAUCAAAGAGAAAAGGGUAAGGGGACAACUAUCAGCUGGAACUGUAGUACACUUUCCUUCUCUUACAGACCUAGUGCUUCCAAUGCGCCCUGGCUGUCUCUCCACACUCUCAAGGUCUUCUUCACUCAUCUUCUUGGCUGUGUGGAUCUGAAAACACACAGCGUUUGUCCGUAAUCUCAUCCUCAUCCACACUGACUGUGGAUAACCGGAUGUGUUUUGUGAGGCCCCUCAGUCUCAACAUGGUUUUACAGACUCGGUCCUAAGCAGGUAUCACAUUCUUACUGACCCACAGCUGCUGUGCUACUUAGGUUUGUGUCUGUUGGAAUUCCAGGGCAAAUAUUUAUAAUUAUAUCAGCUCAGAGAGUACUUCUUCUGCAUACUUCUGAGUUCAGAACCUCAGACUUUUUUCUUAAAGCUACUCAGCGUCUCACUCAGCCAGAGGAGAAGAGACCUGUCCGCUUUAGCUCUCCACUCUUUGUAGUUCAACAGCAGCCUGGUUUAGGCCGGGACAAGGGUGAAGGUGGUGGAGGUGGUGGUGAUGUAUUGAUGAUAAAGAGAACAAUAAUAUCUAUGAGAAUUUUAUUACCCCCAUUUUACAGAUAAAACAACUAAGCUUCACAGAGGUGAGGUAACUUCCUCUGCCAUCCAGGUAGGACUUAACAGAAGGUGGGGUUUACAUCUGGUUCCACGUGAUUCUCCACUCAUCCGCACUCCACCACUCCCCAGGUGGAUGGUCAGGGUCAGGAGCCUCGUGAGUGAGAACAACAGGUCUGUCGAGUUCUGCAGGGCUGAGCUGUUUAUCAUUGCGGAGGACACUCAUCACUGUGCUAAUUACAUUAAUUGCUGCCCACUCUGAGGCUAGCUCCUUCCUGCAAUGGCCCAAGACUGUAAUUACAGGUUGGAUUGGUUGGAAGUUGGUUGCUCUCUACCAUGUAGGGGAAAGGUCAAGACUAUGAACAUUGCUCUUCAUCAGACGCCUUACUGGAAGCAGAGAGGAAGGAUGAGGGUUCCUGUGGUAAUCUCAUGAUUCUCUAGAAGCAGGUGCUCUCCUACCCUCAUUCUGUUUGAGGGAGCCUGGUCAGCUGCUUGGAGUCCAAGAGCUAGCGGGAGAGGAGACAGUCUGAAAGCAGGAACCAUCAGAAGUCAUCCUUAGUGCCCAUAACAUAGUACCCCUCACCAGGACACUGCUCUGUCUGACACUGAAGUAUUGGCAGGGUCGGGCAAGGUGCCAACAAGUGGGUUUUGUCUAUCCCUAAAUGAUGACUGCUUGAGAUCUCACCUGCUCUGCCUUCCUUCCUGAGAUUCCAAGAGAAAUUGCUUGGAAGUGUAUUAAAUGCAAACUAAGUCAGAUGUAAGCCAUGGUGUUUUUCUGUUUGAUCUGUUAAGAGGUAAUUUGGAGACUACUUCUGCAUACUUGUUGAACAGAGACAGAGUGGCUUUGGUAAUUCAUCAUAAUUGAGUAAGUGACUUAACUUCCACAGAAAGCAGAGGAUAAUUUGGGAAGUCACUGGCUUUGGAAUGCUGUAUGUUCAUGUACUUUAUGGGUGUGCCCAUAUCAUUUGUGUGGGUAUAAAUGUCAAUGAGUUUGUGUGUGUGUAUGUGUGUGCAUGCGUACUCAUGUAUACGGGUGUGUGUGUGUGUGUGUGUGUUCCUGUCACACUUCCUGCCAGAGUUCAAAUUUGAAUGUCCGCUGAAAACCAUGUGUUAAAAACUUGGUCCUCAGCCUGAUGCUACCGGAAGAUGCAUCUAGAAGUUCCUUCAGUAGGUGAGGUGUAGUGGGGCACGCUCUAGAAGAGGAAGGGGGAAAUGGGUACAUUUCUCUUUUUGUCUUUUCCAUAAGGUGAGUGGACUUCUUUGGAUAAGCACUCCUGCCAUGCUGUUCUGUGUCACAGUCACAAGACAAGGAAGCCAAUCAGUACCAGACUGAAACCCCCCAAACUGUGAGCCCUCCUUCAGACUGACUUGCCAGCACUCUUCUUAAAGCAGAAAGCUGACUAGCACACCCACCAACCUUCUAUGAACGAGAUUUGAGCUCUGUUCUACUAAUCUUAAUGCAUUCUAUAAUUACAUAGGGAAGUAAGGAUAUUUGGAAGUAGACCAGAGUGUAUCUUGGUUCCGCCUUUAUUAACUGCCAUGCCUUGGACAAGUCACUUCACCUCUCUGGGCACUGAUUUCUCAUUUCUAAAAAUAGGGAUAAUAACAGUCCUGACUUGAUGGCACUCCUACAGGCUAGGAGGUUUCUGAGGGCAGGAACUAUGUUUAUAUACUGUUCUGUCCUCAGCCAGAAUGAGGUUUGAGCUGAGUGUGGCCUUGGAACUUAAGGUAAUACUUCUAUUCUGAAUCCAAUAUUUCCCAAUUGGCUGAGCAGCCUUGGAGAAAUUACCUAAUGUUCCUGAGCCUCAGAUUUCAUACCUAUGGAAUAGAGAUUUUUUAUUCCUCCUUGAAAUGAUUGCUGUGUGGUAAGGUGAGACCUACAAAGGCUUGUGUGGCAGAUGGUUAGCACAUAGGAGGCAGCUGGCAAAGCUUGCUUCUCUCAAAGUCUAGUCUCUGUCCUAGAGUGUUACCUUCACCAACAGGUAUUGAAUUUCCACUUGAUCUGAAAAUCUCGUAUUUGGAUCUUCACCACCACACCCGUCUUUCCCAUUUCUUUCUUUCCUUUCCUUUCCCUGUGUUGCCCUCUCAUUCGGCUCUGCUGUGACUGAGUUCCUCUGGACCAACAGUAGGCCCUGGAUGCUCAGCCCUCUCACUAGCCUCGCCUCCCUCAACCUCUCCUUCCACAACCCUGGGCAGAUCUUGUUCUCAUGGACUGCUUCCAGCACAGGCUACUGCCUCAGCUCUGGCCUAACUGGCUGUGUGAGCCUUCUGGUAAACUCUGGCUUUACUAUGGCAGAACAGUAGAGACAGAAAGAGGGACCUCAAAACAAACACAAGAAACUGGUUAACCCAAAAAGACGGAAUGCGCUUCUCUAACAAAUGGAACACGCACAAGAAAUGGGUUUGCAUACAUGUACCUGCUCUUUGGAGUAUAUGCUCACUGCCAACCCCUUAUUCCUCUCUUUUCUCUCCCCCAUCUCUCGCUCUUGGUUUUUUAUCUUUUUGGCUUUUCGAGACAGGGUUUCUUUAUAUGGUCCUGGCUGUCCAGGAAUUUGCUAUAUACAAGUUGGCCUUGUAUACGAAGGAUGGCCUUGAACAGAGAUCUGCCUGUCUCUGCCUCCCCAGUUGCUGGAGUUAAAGGCAUGUGCCGGCACCCCUGGCCUCUUGAUAGACUGUCCUUAUUUCUGUUUCUAAUCAUGUGACCCAUGCCCAAUUCUUUGCCACAGGACACAAGAACCUAGAUAUGGAUUCAAAUCCCUGCCUCUCACAGCAUCCCUAGUGCCAGCUCACUCUGGGUGGUAGCAACCACCAAUGGCUCCUGGCUGUGAUGGGAUAUUUCCAGAACUUUCUUGGUUUGAGGCUUUACACCUGUCAUCUCUCUUCCUUCUGAGGAUCUGCUGACUGGCACUCUUACUUCCUCAGGCCUCAGCUUACAGGCUGCCUCCUCAGAAAGCCCCCCUCCAUGGCUUAUGCAAAAUAAUACCACAAUUGCUCCUGAUCCCCUCCAUUUCGGCUUCCUUCUUCUCACCUGUAAGUGAUCCAGUAUGAAUUCAUUCAUUCAUUCAUUCAUUCACUCUAUUUUCAGUGACAGGGACUGAAGCCACAUUCUCAAUGUGUGCUAAGUCUGUGUUCUUAAUUUAUUCUUAAUUGUUUCUCUCCCUUAGGUAGCUUGUGAGCAUAUAAAAACAGGUUGUGUGAGCCUUCUGCAGACCAUGACACAUAGUAGGUGCUUAGACAAAACACACCAUGGUUUGAAUGUGUGUGACCACUUAUGAAAUAGUAGGGAGGGGCCUACAGGAUGUGUUAGGCAAUUCCAGGCCUAUAUGGUCCACUGGGCAAAUGACAAGGCCUUAAUGAAGUCAGGUCCCCCUAAAGGCUUCUGUGGAAGUCCUACUGUGUGCACAAUAGGUUCAGGAGCAGGGUCGUGGCAUCAACACAAUGAAAAGCACAGUUCCUGCUGGCUUUUGUGCUCUGUGGCUCCUAUAACAAUUACAAGCUUGGUAGCUUAAAUAGUAAAAAUUUAUUUUCUCACAAUUACUAGACACCAGGACAUCUGAAACUAAGGUGUUAGUUAGCAGGGCUGAGCUCCUUUGGUGGCCUCUCCCCUGUGGAGAGUUGUUUCACUUUCAGCAGCAUAACUUUGAAAGUGUUUUCACUGUGUCUCUCUGUAUCCCAAAUCUCUUUCUUUCUCUGAUAAGAACACACGGUUGAAUAGAAAGCUUGUUCUGAACCUCAAGUGAUCUCUCUUUGAAACCCUUCCUGCUCCAAAGACCCCACUUCCAAAUUAGGUCCCCUUCAUAAGGACUGGAGCUGAGGACCUGGCUGUAUUGUUUAACUCACCACGGUGCCUUCCAGGAAUGUCUUGUCUGAGAGUGGGACAGGCACAGCUUAGCAAUCAGUGUCCCAAGCAAGAGUGAGACCAACCAUUAUGGCCUUAGGCAGAGAUUAUUCAGUAUAUUUUAGUCAAGAUUCAUGCGCAGAGACUUUGCUGGGGAGCAGAGAUGACAAAAUGUAGCCUCUGCCCUGGGAGAGUUCAUGGGAGAAACGGAAGUAAGUCUGCCAGUGGGCCCUGGAGAGGUGGAGGUCGGCCCUGAAGCCCUGGGAGAUGAACCGGGGAGAGGAGUAAUGAGAAGGGUCUGAGGGGAGGGGUUCAGAGAGCUUCUUGGAGGAGGUGUAUGAAACACCGAGGCUCCAAGACUGAGAGAAUAGGAACCAGCUAGGCCAGAAAGCAGGGAAGGAUGAAGGCACAGAGAGUAGUAAGACUGGAUACAUAGAGGUGGAAUGGGGACCCGAGAAAAGUGGCUGCUGCAUUCCCCUCCAGGUCGCACUGGGGAGCCACAGAAAGACCUAGAGAAGGAAAUGAUAUCCCUGGACCUGCAUAUUAAAAUAAAAAGAACAGAAAGCCUGCUGAGGAAAGUGAUUUUCUAGAGGUUUGAAAUUAUAUUUGUGAUUUUUUUUAGAAAGUUUAACCUAUGUACAGAAAAGUGCUCAAGUCACAGAAGUGCAACAGAAAAUGUCCUCACAGACAUACCCACAGGCCCACAGACCAGCCUGAGGAAGGAUAUUUCUCAGGAACAACUGCAAAUGAAGCGCCCCUGUAUGUGAGGACAGCCCUGGGGUUGGGGGAGCAGGGACUAAAAGCUACAAAUGCUAAAAGCUCUGCAGUACAGACCUGACCCAUAGGUCCUUCUCUUAAGCCUGUAAGAGAGUGUGUGGCCCAGGACUGGACUGAACUGGAGCUCCCAGCAUGGUCUGGGGUGGAGAGAUUGAGGAAGGACUCUGUGUGAGCAGGGCAGAUCACUGGACUCUGCUUUUCUUGGCCUCCACUUUCUCUUCAACAGUCUGACAAUAGAAUUACUGCCCUCCUUGUGAUCGGAGUCUAGGGGGCUGACUUGGGGAUGAAAUGAAAAUGUGUUUAUGGUUUAGGGGUAGGGCCCAACCCAGGACAGCAUGUAGGCAAAAGCAGUGGCCAGGAAUUGACUCCAGAUUCCUUGGGGCUGGAGCUCUCUCUAUACAAAAGAAGGAAGUUGGAGAAGACUUUUAAUUCUUUUCUAUUUUUUUUCUCCUUAGAUUGUCUUUUUAGAAUCUUAAAACCCUGAUUCUUUUGUCUAAUUGGGGGACUUGAAGCAGUCUGUGGGAAAUGAAUGGCAUAUUUGAUAAUUAGGUAUCCAGUGUUGGAUGCUCGUCCUAGUUACUGUGAUAAACACCGUGACCGAAAUCAACGGGGAGGAGAGGGGUUAUUUGGAUGUCAGGGCAGGGAUGCAAGGCAGGAACUGAAGGAAAGACCGUGGUGGAGGAGCGCUUCUUACUGGCUUACUUCCUCUAGAUGCUCAGCUACGUUUCUCAUAGAGUCCUGGCCCAGGGAUGACAAUACCCACAAUGGCUUGGACCCUCCCAUAUUAAUCAGAAAUGAAGAAAAUGUCCUCACAGAUAUGCCCGCAAGCCAGUCUAAUGAACGCUAUUCCUCAAGUGAGGUUCCUUCCCUCCUCCCAAGUGACUCUCUCCUCAACUUAACAAAAAACUAACCAACAUAGCACACCUUUACUGAGGCCUGUCAUGUGUGAGACCCGCCCUGCACAGCAGACCACUUGGGAAACUUCCAGGUUAGUAUAAUAUUGUUCCAAGGAAUCUCUUCAUGUCUGAUGGCUGAAGAACUUCCGGGGCCUCAGAGAGAGCAGCAGUAGCUCAGAGUCUACUGGCAGGCACAUUAAGGGCUAAAAUACUGCUUAGGUAAAUACACCACUGCAAGUACCUGUAGUCAGCUCUUAGUGGUCACCCUAGAGUGGGUAGCAGUUGGUUGGAGUCCAGGAAGAUUGUGGGAGCUCCAGCAAAGGGUAUGUGUAAUUGCCAAACCGUUCUGUUUGUUAAGACAUCUGUGGAUAGCAGGAUCUGUCCCUACCUGCCUGGUUCUCCGGGGAGGGGGAGGGGCAGUCAGUCACUAGAACAGAGAUGGUCUCACACACCAUGUUCUUUCCCAGGCUGGAGUAAGUACAGAUGCUAGACUCAAGGGGAGAAGAGUGGUCAGGGAACAGUGCCAGUGCUGGUUGGCAUCUGGGUCAAGCCCAGAAGACUCAUGGAAGUCUCGGAGUGCCAUCUGCAUCUCAUCAGAGGGGCUCUGGGUUGACUUGAGUAGUCAGGCAACUCUGGCAGGCACUGGCUUUAAGGCAUUGACUGAGUUGGAUUUGAGAGCCCUAGAUAGAAUAUCGGGCUAAACACUACAUUUUUCAGAACCAGUUUUUCACCUGCUAACAAUAUCACAAGUGUGGAGGUUUAUACAUAGGCAUAUAUGCUGUUUUUAGGUACUGUAAUUCUUACUAAAUAGUAUUUGUAACUUAUAUUAGGAUGGGGGGUGCCAGGGGCUGUGUCUGUGUACAUCAAUUCCUAGUAAAAUGACCAGCAACUUCUCAGACUCUUUAGGCUGGGACUAAUGAGGGGAAGUUUGGGUCAAGCUGGUAUGCCUGGCGCCUACAGCUGUGUCUCAAAUACUGAGGAAUAAACGAAUUCCACUACUUGGGUUUUCUUCAGGCCAAGCCCACUGAAAUAAAGAAGCUGAGGUUUCCAGAAAAGUCUGCUCCUCCGGUGUAGUUGGCUGGUUGACUGACGGUGGUCCAGUGAUAACGUUAUUGGCCUCUGGGUCGCUUUACACCCCGGUGGAUCUCUGAAACUGCUGUGGCCCCUUUCAUCCAGCCCACUUUCUUCGUGGGACUUAAAAUUGAGCACAGAUCAUGGAAGAUUUUCAUCAUGGUCCUGGGAGUUGGACUCCUAGUACCUGCUAUGGCUACAUUAGGGUCCACCUGGCUUAUUGGCUGGUAGCUAGUUCCCUUGGGAACCAGAACAAUCUUCCUGCACAUUGAGUAAUCUGCUUCCUUUCCCUGCCCGGGGCAAGAGUCGGCUCAGGGAAAGUGAAGAAACCAGUUUGGGGCAGCACUAGGGUGGGCGUGGGCUGGGCACUGCCAGGAACUCUGCGGCAAGACCAGUUUCCAUUGCUUCCGGACCGGAUGCAGGGCUGCGAUCCGGGCGGAGACCAGAGAAUUGCGCCCGUGAGCGCACCUAUGAGAGCCACAUGUUAUUCAGCAGACUGAGUCAAGCAGAUUGUCCUCUCUAACGAGGCUAACUCUUCUCCAGUCAGUUGAAGAGAUGACCUGGACAGAAAGGUAGGAAGAAAAGAAUUGUAGCUUUGAAUAAGACUAUCAGCCUUUGGGGGCUUUGUUCGGUUUUUAUGUUCACAUUCACAAUGUAUCAAUGACCCUUCUUGGGAUGUUAGACCACCCAGCCUUGGACUGAAACCACAAUAUCCACUCUUCUCUAUCUUGGACUUCAGAUAUGGAUCAGAACUAAAUCAUAGACUCUUCCAAGUUUUCAACUGCUGACUCAUCUUGUAAAUCCUGGGACUUUCCUGAGUCUGUGGUAAAUGUCACAUGUGCUGACUCCUUAUAACCCCCCCCUCUCUUAUGCUAACUCACUGUAGAACCUUGAUAAACAACACAAUAGGAUCAUCUUUGUCUCCAUUUGAAUGUAACAUGGCUUCUUCAGCCAUCACCUGUUUUUAUCUGCAGAACAGUUCUCUGGAUCAGACAGAGCAGCCCUCUGAGAAUCCUCACCUACAGAAGAGGAAACUGAGGUCUAAGAGGGAUUCUAUCUGUGCUUCUAUGGCCUAGCUGCCCAGAAGUAGAACAACUUCAACCCCAAAGUCAAGGCCCUGCAGAAAGUCAGGAAGGGUGGAAGAACAGCUACUCUCAAUUUUUAAUAUAGCAUUGGCCAUCAAUUUAGAAACCUCUUGAUAUCCCCUGAGAAGAAAUAAAAGACUAAAAAUGUGGACUUAGGUAAAUCUUAUAAAACAAUAUAGAAGCAAGGUCUAGUAGAAAAGCUGUGUCUAGACUUAAAAGAAGAAAAGCAUUUACCAAUAUUCUAGAUGAAUCAUGGUCUAUUUGGGUUUGAAACAAUUUGAGAGGUUAUUCCUUUUGAUUCUUUCUUUUCACAGUAAGAACACUAAGGCCCAGGGAGGAUCUUUGGCUUGUCCCUCUGUACAGCUUGAGGGGAAGACACUGCCUGCUUAGAGGCCUCAUCUGUCAAUCCAACACUUGAUUGUCUACACUGCAUGCUGAUGCUGACGACCCAGAUGCAGACUGUUUCCUCCAUGUUCUGUCCUCAUGGACUGUCUCUUUGGAAUAUCCCAUGUUCAUAGAUAUCAUCUGAGAUGUCGCCACUCACGGCCCUGCAUUUGUAGUGAAGAUGCUUCAGCCUCAGACAAUCCUGUGUCUCCAUCCCAAUCCCUUCUUACUAAUAGGGGAAAUAUGGCCACACGUCUUGCUCUUCAGGCUCUGGAUUUUGUCAUCAUGGAGGCCCAAACACAGUAUUUAUGACUCAUGGUUUCUCUUGAGGACUACGAGAUGAAGCCGGCAACACAAUAUGGACACUGUAAAUGCUCUACAAAUUGAGGGACAAGCCCUGUAUUAAAGGGGGCCCAGAAUACAUACUGUGUUCAAGGCUAUGUUGAUGCCAGUUCUGUUGGCUCAUGAAGCUAGCAGUGAACCACUCCUGUAUACUGAAGUAGUGGUGACUGUCCCUGUUGCUGUAAGAAGCCCCUUUCUUCUCUGGUCCAUGCUUUUCCAUUUAUAAAAUGGGCACAGUCAGAACUCCUACUGUGCAGGAGCUGAUGGUACUGCUUGGCAAGCCAAGCAAAGGAAAUGAGUAUUCACCCACUUACUAUCUUAUCUCCUCACUUGCUAAGGAAAAGCUAAUAUAUGGUUGGUAGAGUUCAGUAUAUGAUAAGAUUAUCAUUUUAAUUAUCAUUGUCACCAAGUUUCCUGGGAUAGGUGAAGCUCUUGGAUGACAAAGACUUUGACAAAAAUAACGGAUCAAGCAUAUCAGAGGAGUCAGGUAUGGGAACACCUGCCUGUAAUCCCAGAACCUGGGGGGCAGAUGCAGGAGGACUGUUGUUUGAAUAGCCUGGGCUACCUACUGAGUUCUAGGCCAGCCUGGGCUGUAAAAUAAGAUGUUUGUUUUCUGUUUUGUUUUUGUUUUUGUUUUAAAGCAAACAAACAACAAUCUACACAAUGAAACAUUCACCAUGUCUGGAGUCAAAAUGGAAAAUAGCAUAAAUAAGAUUUGUAGA